CAGUCGCCGCGGUAAAACGAAGGGUGCAAGCGUUAAUCGGAAUUACUGGGCGUAAAGCGUGCGUAGGCGGUUUCUUAAGUCUGCUGUGAAAUCCCCGGGCUCAACCUGGGAAUGGCAGUGGACACUGGGAAGCUAGAGUGUGUCAGAGGAUGGUGGAAAUCCCGGUGUAGCGGUGAAAUGCGUAGAGAUCGGGAGGAACAUCAGUGGCGAAGGCGGCCAUCUGGGACAACACUGACGCUGAGGCACGAAAGCGUGGGGAGCAAACAGGAUUAGAUACCCCAGUAGUCCCUGUCUCUUAUAC
rnacentral:rRNA from 1 species